rnacentral:lncRNA from 1 species
AGUCCACUUUUGUGAACCUCAGGCAGAUCCUUGAGGUAGCUGGCAUCAUAUAGUUCAUUUUCCUUCUCAGUCCAAUCCAAAAUCACCUUUAGCAUUCUAGCUGGUUGUAUCACCGUAUCUUUUACAACUGGCCUGCAGCAGGUGCCCCGUUCAUCAGUUAAACAAAGAUGAAAUUAUUAUUUCUUUAGCAUUCUAGCUGGUUGUAUCACCGUAUCUUUUACAACUGGCCUGCAGCAGGUGCCCCGUUCAUCAGUUAAACAAAGAUGAAAUGCCAUCCCCCUGCUGGAAUUUUCCACUGGUUCUUUGUACUCCAUUGACCUGUCUUCAUGACCAAACUGAAUAGUACAGCUGUCCAUUGGUUCUUCAAUCUUUUCCA